CACGAAAAGAGUUUUAAUCAAAGCCUUAAAGGCUGUAAAAGCAAUUGCUGUCAUGUUAAUGUUUGGGGACUUUUAUUUUUCAUCCACAUAUAUAUAAUAAUUAAACCUGACAUGAGUGUUGUCUAGUUAGAAGCAAGAAGGUUUUAACUUUAUAUAAAUAAAAGACUUUAGCAGAAAGUCAUUUUUAAUAUGUUUUAUAUUUCACAAGGAGACAACACGUUUACCAGGCUAAAGUUGGGGUCAAAUAUACAUGUGCUGAAACAUAUAACUAAAAAAGAAAUCAUCAUGGAUUAUCCCCUGGUAGUGUUUGUAACUGGGCAAUAAUUUCCUUUAUUGAUUUAAUUUUAACAAUUUUCAUUAUUAAUUUAUAUUUAACCAUUAACACAAAUGAUUAAGUUAAAACAUUUCAACUUUCCAGACGCAAAUGUUAAAAAACGGGAAAGAAAUAAAAUAUCUUACAAGACAUAAACAUGUAAAGAAUAAAUAUAUAUUUCAGCUUAAUAAAAAUAUUUUCAUAAUGGUACUUUGUCAUCAUUUUUAAAACUAAGUUCCAAACAUUAUUGCUCAGUUGAUAUACAUGUAUGUCCUUCUGAUGCGGUACGAGCACAGGCACUUGUUUCUAUCCAAAAUAGUUUUAUAUGGAUAGCCGACCUUCCUAUGGAUAGAAACAAGUGCAUGUGGGUACGAGAUAACUAUAAUUCUCAUGCAAUCCCGAAAGGGGGGGGUCAUCACAGACAAACAUGACAUUAAAUCGUUAUCACUGAUGUAUUGUUUAGGGCCAGUUGAAGGACGCCUCCGGGUGCGGGAAUUUUUCGCUGCAUUGAAGACCUGUUGGUGACCUAGCUUCUGCUGUUGUAUGUUUUUCUAUGGUCGGGUUGUUGUCUCUUUGACACAUUCCCCAUUUCCAUUCUCAAUUUUAUUAUACGAACAAGAACAAACAGCUCUACGUUGCUUUGACAUUUAUCAAUUUUCAGGAAACAUUGCGAAAAAUGAUCUUCAAUAUUUCGAAAACAUGUGAAAUAAAAUUGCCAACACGGUGGACCGUCGAGUGUCAACAAACGUAGUAGACUUGUUCACUGAAAAGACGAGGAUAAUGGUUUUCAUCUGACAUUUUGUUAUGCAUUCCCAGUUUUGAUCAUGAUAUUUAAAAAGAAGUACUUUUUUCAAUCUAUGUAACUAGAAAAUUCCAAAUUGAAAUAUCUCUUCAUCUGGACCGACUUGGCAUCUACUACGUUUGGACGGGUCCAUUUCAUUAGUAAGGUGAUCGAUAAAUAUUACGGAGUUUGACAGAAAAGGAAAACGAACUUAUUGUUAUGUGUUUUCAACAAGGGUUUCGUUCCGCUAAAUUAUUUGCGCAAACAAAGUUUGUCUAUUUUUAGAUUACAG
rnacentral:lncRNA from 1 species